AUUGAACGCUGGCGGCAUGCCUUACACAUGCAAGUCGAACGGCAGCACGGGAGCAAUCCUGGUGGCGAGUGGCGAACGGGUGAGUAAUAUAUCGGAACGUGCCCAGUCGUGGGGGAUAACGUAGCGAAAGCUACGCUAAUACCGCAUACGAUCUAUGGAUGAAAGCGGGGGAUCGCAAGACCUCGCGCGAUUGGAGCGGCCGAUAUCAGAUUAGGUAGUUGGUGAGGUAAAGGCUCACCAAGCCGACGAUCUGUAGCUGGUCUGAGAGGACGACCAGCCACACUGGGACUGAGACACGGCCCAGACUCCUACGGGAGGCAGCAGUGGGGAAUUUCGGACAAUGGGCGCAAGCCUGAUCCAGCAAUGCCGCGUGCAGGAUGAAGGCCUUCGGGUUGUAAACUGCUUUUGUACGGAACGAAACGGUGAGCUCUAAUACAGUUUGCUAAUGACGGUACCGUAAGAAUAAGCACCGGCUAACUACGUG
rnacentral:rRNA from 1 species